rnacentral:rRNA from 1 species
GACGAACGCUGGCGGCGUGCUUAACACAUGCAAGUCGAACGGAAAGGCCCUGCUUUUGUGGGGUGCUCGAGUGGCGAACGGGUGAGUAACACGUGAGUAACCUGCCCUUGACUUUGGGAUAACUUCAGGAAACUGGGGCUAAUACCGGAUAGGAGCUCCUGCUGCAUGGUGGGGGUUGGAAAGUUUCGGCGGUUGGGGAUGGACUCGCGGCUUAUCAGCUUGUUGGUGGGGUAGUGGCUUACCAAGGCUUUGACGGGUAGCCGGCCUGAGAGGGUGACCGGCGACAUUGGGACUAAGGUACGGCCCAGACUCCUACGGGAGACAGCAGGGGGGAAUAUUGUACAAUGGGCGGAAGCCUGAGGCAGCAACGCCGCGUGCGGGAUGACGGCCUUCGGGGUGUAAACCGCUGUCGCCUGUGACGAAGCGUGAGUGACGGUAAUGGGUAAAGAAGCACCGGCUAACUACGUG